CCGCAUGAGUGUUGGUGUCUGUGUAUGCGUGUCAUCUUUGUGGCAUCACACGUCAACUACACUGAACGCAUACACCUGCAGCACCUUUGGGACUAAUGACACAAAGGUCAAGGCCAGCCUGGCGACCAUGCUUGCCAAGGAGUAGUGUAAAUAUUUAAUCUGUUUCCAUAAUAGCAUAAGACAAGAAUUUAAGGAAUUCAUGUAUUAUAUCGAGCAAUAAAAACGGUUAAUGUAUUGCC